UUGCGAAUAUUCUCGCUGUUCUGGUUUUGCAAUAAUCAGGGCAGGCUAAACAUUCGCUAUAUUAAAACCAUGCAUGUGUCCCCAGGCCUAGUUCUUUCCCUAUGUCUGGUUUUAUAAAUGCUGGUGAUAAAA
rnacentral:snoRNA from 14 species